ACAACGGGUGGAGCUUGCGGUUUAAUUGGAUUCAACGCCGGAAAUCUUACCGGGACCGACAGCAAUAUGAAGGCCAGGCUGAAGACUUUGCCGGAUUAGCUGAGAGGUGGUGCAUGGCCGUCGUCAGUUCGUACUGUGAAGCAUCCUGUUAAGUCAGGCAACGAGCGAGACCCACGCCCACAGUUGCCAGCGUACUCUCCGGAGUGACGGGUACACUGUGGGACCGCCGCUGCUAAAGCGGAGGAAGGAAUGGGCAACGGUAGGUCAGUAUGCCCCGAAUAUCCCGGGCUACACGCGAGCUACAAUGGUUGGUACAAUGGGUAUCUACCCCGAAAGGGGACGGGAAUCUCCUAAAACCAAUCUUAGUUCGGAUUGAGGGCUGCAACUCGCCCUCAUGAAGCUGGAAUCCGUAGUAAUCGCGUUUCAACAGAACGCGGUGAAUACGUCCCUGCUCCUU
rnacentral:rRNA from 1 species